rnacentral:rRNA from 1 species
UACAGAGGGGGCCAGCGUUAUUCGGAAUUAUUGGGCGUAAAGGGCGCGUAGGCGGCCAUGCGUGUCUUCCGUGAAAUCCCUCGGCUUAACCGAGGACGUGCGGAAGAAACUGCAAGGCUCGAGUCCGGAAGAGGGGGGCGGAAUUCCCAGUGUAGCGGUGAAAUGCGUAGAUAUUGGGAGGAACACCAGUGGCGAAGGCGGUCCCCUGGGCCGGAACUGACGCUGAGGCGCGAAAGCGUGGGGAGCGAACAGG